CUUGUAACUCAGAUUCUAUGUUACCUGUCCUCGGUCCACUUGGAAUCUCUUGAGAGAGCCGAGUCCUGUGUGUUCCUAGGCCCUGCCACAGGGACCUGGACACCCUGCCUGUUGAGGCAAGGUUGUGGAUGUCCCGGGCCUUAUGGUCCCUGCUUCCCAUGAUGUGUGGCAGCAUCCAUCUGAACGCUCAUCACUACCAAGGCCAAGGUUUUGGAAGGAAGUUCUUCUUCUCCCAUCUUAGUAUUAGACCAUCAGAUUUGGGACACGGGACUAAGGCCGCUGACUCUGCAUCCCUUACAAGCAUACACAGCUGCCUGCCCUUUUGCCUUGUGUCCAUCCUGGAGCGGCCUUCUGCAAGAUUCUAUGUUACCUGUCCUCGGUCCACUUGGAAUCUCUUGAGAGAGCCGAGUCCUGUGUGUUCCUAGGCCCUGCCACAGGGACCUGGACACCCUGCCUGUUGAGGCAAGGUUGUGGAUGUCCCGGGCCUUAUGGUCCCUGCUUCCCAUGAUGUGGGGCAGCAUCCCUCUGAACGCUCAACACUACCAAGGCCAAGGUUUUGGAAGGAAGUCCUUCUUCUCCCAUCUUACUAUUAGACCAUCGGAUUUGGGACA